CACGUAUUUAGCCGGGGCUUCCUCCUAUGAUACCGUCAUUAUCUUCUCAUAGGACAGAGCUUUACGACUCGAAAGCCUUCUUCGCUCACGCGGCGUCGCUGCAUCAGGGUUUCCCCCAUUGUGCAAUAUUCCCCACUGCUGCCUCCCGUAGGAGUUUGGACCGUGUCUCAGUUCCAAUGUGGCCGUUCAUCCUCUCAGACCGGCUACUGAUCGUCGCCUUGGUAGGCCUUUACCCCACCAACUAGCUAAUCAGACGCGAGCCCAUCUUACACCGGUAUUCCCUUUUACCCUUUUACCAUGCGGUUAUUGUGGUCUUAUGGGGUAUUAAUCACCGUUUCCAAUGGCUACUCCCCCUGUGUAAGGCAGGUUCGCUCACGUUGUUACUCACCCGUUCGCCUACUUUCGUUAAAUCUCUAUUUCGUACCGAAAACUCUAUUCGAUCUAACUCUCGUUCGACUUGCUAUGUUGUUAACGCACCGCCGCCAGCGUUCGUCU
rnacentral:rRNA from 1 species